rnacentral:rRNA from 1 species
GAUGAACGCUGGCGGCGUGCCUAAUACAUGCAAGUCGAACGAAACUUCUUUAUCACCGAGUGCUUGCACUCACCGAUAAAGAGUUGAGUGGCGAACGGGUGAGUAACACGUGGGCAACCUGCCCAAAAGAGGGGGAUAACACUUGGAAACAGGUGCUAAUACCGCAUAACCAUAGUUACCGCAUGGUAACUAUGUAAAAGGUGACUAUACUACCGCUUUUGGAUGGGCCCGCGGCGCAUUAGCUAGUUGGUAGGGUAAAGGCUUACCAAGGCAAUGAUGCGUAGCCGAAUUGAGAGGUUGAUCGGCCACAUUGGGACUGAGACACGGCCCAAACUCCUACGGGAGGCAGCAGUAGGGAAUCUUCCACAAUGGGCGAAAGCCUGAUGGAGCAACGCCGCGUGGGUGAAGAAGGUCUUCGGAUCGUAAAACCCUGUUGUUAGAGAAGAAAGUGCGUGAGAGUAACUGUUCACGUUUCGACGGUAUCUAACCAGAAAGCCACGGCUAACUACGUG